UUGAUGACAGGGGCGAUGAUGAUCCGGAUGCGGUGAGAGUCACAAACACAAUAGAUAGCACGAUCGAUACGAACGAUGUAAUGUAUGUGGGGGUAAGAACGAAAGAAUAGAGCCCACCCGUGAGCGAAUGAACGAACGAACGUGUGGCCGAUAAUGUGGAUCGUUAUCGUUAGUCGUUAUCUUACCUCGGCCGCGGGGUAGAUUCAGUGCACUGGUGCCACCGCUGGCCAAGUGCGGGCUGUGAUCCUGCCGGGUCCGAUUGUUCAGGAACUCGCGGAUGUGCUGCACGAUCAGGUCGAUGGCCACUGAAAGAGCACGAAAGCAUGGGUUGGGUUUCGGAUUACUUGUGGUUAUCGCAUCUAUAGGGAAUUAUUCGGGCAGCAGGAACUAUGUUCAGGGUAUUGACGGACUAUCCCCAGGUCGCUGCGAGUUGUGGGGCUUGCCUAGGAUGUGGGUUUGACUCUGAACAUUAGACUCUGUUCCGUCCCACGAAAGCGACCAUGUGCCGCUCAAAGCACACAAGCUCAAGUUAUGGUGUUGGGUGGGACACUAAAUAGACCUGGCACGACGGCUAUCCUGAGAGACAUGAGGUUUGCGCAGGCCCUAUAAGCCGCCUGCAAUCAUUACAUAUGACAUUACUGAUAAUUUGAAUUCGAUACAAUCGCCUACGACCUAGGUGGCGAAUAAACAUUUACGAAUGGAAGUUUGGAACAUGGAACUGCAUGUUUAGGUGUAGCAGGCUCUUACAUGAUAAUCUACGAUAAAUUACUUCCCCUGGAACUUACACCUGUACAGGGCACAAAGUAUGGAAAUGUGUGCUUCAAACUACCACCUUCUGUCAAAGUUGUGGCGUCUCCAACGCGUGAUUGAGAGGCAGCCAAUUAACGGAAGAAUGUGCUAACUGAGGAUCAAAGAUAAAAAAACUGAGAAUCAAAGGCUGUUUCUUCAACUAUAGCAUCAACGAGCCGACGACGAGAAAGAUGUGAUGGAUUUCCACUUGCGGAAAAUCAAAAUUGUCAUCGGCGCAACGUUCAGGUAGGGAAGGAGGAAAUGUGCAGAUCGGAGAUCGAACUGGAUAGUCUGCAUACCAUAUCAAGUGACAACAACCAACGAUGCAUAAACUUUGCCGUCUCCAGCGGAAUGGUAGUUUGAACCUUUUUUUUCCUACAAGAA